rnacentral:rRNA from 1 species
AUGAGGACUAUGUGCUGGAACUGUCGAGGAAUUAGCGACCUUGCGACAGUUCAUGAGCUCCGCGAUCUUGUGGAGGCUAGUGCACCGUCGGUGCUAUGCAUCGUUGAAACUCAACUGGCAAAGUACCGAGUGGAAGGUUUGGCGAGUAGGUUAGGUUUCAGCAGUAGUUUU